GGGGCAGCACGAUGUAGCAAUACAUUGGUGGCGACCGGCGCACGGGUGAGUAACGCGUAUGCAACCUACCUAUCAGAGGGGAAUAACCCGGCGAAAGUCGGACUAAUACCGCAUAAAACAGGGGUUCCACAUGGAAAUAUUUGUUAAAGAAUUAUCGCUGAUAGAUGGGCAUGCGUUCCAUUAGAUAGUUGGUGAGGUAACGGCUCACCAAGUCCACGAUGGAUAGGGGUUCUGAGAGGAAGGUCCCCCACACUGGUACUGAGACACGGACCAGACUCCUACGGGAGGCAGCAGUGAGGAAUAUUGGUCAAUGGGCGAGAGCCUGAACCAGCCAAGUCGCGUGAAGGAUGAAGGAUCUAUGGUUUGUAAACUUCUUUUAUAUGGGAAUAAAGUGAGGAACGUGUUCCUUUUUGUAUGUACCAUAUGAAUAAGCAUCGGCUAACUCCGUGCCAGCAGCCGCGGUAAUACGGAGGAUGCGAGCGUUAUCCGGAUUUAUUGGGUUUAAAGGGUGCGUAGGUGGUUAAUUAAGUCAGCGGUGAAAGUUUGUGGCUCAACCAUAAAAUUGCCGUUGAAACUGGUUGACUUGAGUAUAUUUGAGGUAGGCGGAAUGCGUGGUGUAGCGGUGAAAUGCAUAGAUAUCACGCAGAACUCCGAUUGCGAAGGCAGCUUACUAAACUAUAACUGACACUGAAGCACGAAAGCGUGGGGAUCAAACAGGAUUAGAUACCCUGGUAGUCCACGCUGUAAACGAUGAUUACUAGGUGUGGGGGGACUGACCCCUUCCGUGCCGCAGUUAACACAAUAAGUAAUCC
rnacentral:rRNA from 1 species